CUUUAUAAAAACUCUGUGUUUUCUUAGAGCCAGGGCUAUUCAUUAUCUAGCAAACCUGACUUCAAAUCUGGAAAGUCCUGUCUAGCUUUUUAGACUAUAAAUGUGUAUCUAAGUGGAAGACACAAGAGCGAGCGUCUUAUGCUGUCCCAUUGUCCUAAAGCACUGAGCUUGUAUGUUUUCGGACUUCGUAGGAUUUUUAAGUCAAUUUCAAUGUCAAAGUGGAAUAGCUGCUGUAUCUUCUUACAGACUUGCUACCUCCCUGGGAUCCUGCACCCGGGGCACAUGCAGGACCUCCUCUCAUUGGGUUGUUUGGAGAAAAAAGCUGAGCUCUCUGUAGUUUAAUUCCUACUGAAGAGCAAGGGUUUCCUGUUAUUCUUUGUCUUGGUUUUUUAGCAAUUUGUUGUAGUUGUUGUUGACUAGUGAAGUGAAACUCUAAUGUGACAGUUAUCAUUACGGGUUAAAUUGCCCAGGGAGUUAAAAUUAACAGAAAAGGACGUCACGUAAUUAGCGCUUUUCUGACAUUCCCCCAGAAUGUUGUUAUGUAUCAUACUUCAUCAUCACCUGUCUUUUGAAAUGAAGAGCAAAAGACUUGCUCUUCUUAAAUGACUCUGGAACCACAUCAUCAUUAAGGCUCACUGUGUUGUAUACUGUAGUACAGAAACCAGCUGCCAUUGGCUUGUUUCUGUGCUGGAAUUACCCUUGCCAAAUUUACCUCUCGUUUAUUGAACACCAGGGGGCGCUCCUGGGAAGUUCAGUAUCUGAAAAACUGAAGGUGAAGCCAAAGGAAAUGGAGAAAACUUGCCAGCAACUGGCAUGAUAGCUGCCAGUUCUGAUUCAUAGAAAGGAAAGGACAGGUUAUGAUCUCAAGUCCUGUGAGAAGGGAACGGCAGGCCAAGAAUGUGUGCUUGUUCAAACAAACAAGGGCUGAUGCACAAGGCACCCUCACCUCCCCAACCUUGUUUUCAGUUCGCCUUUCACUGGACACACUAACAGAACAGUCUUCUGCCAGAAAGACACCCGGAACCCACAUAUAGGGCCUAACGGUAAUAAUUCAGAACAGGAAACCUUCCAGACAAGGCAAGACCUAUAUUUUCCUACUAUUUCUGAAAUUACAGUGCUGUUCCUUUGAGUCUGUCUGACAUCUAGCACUUUGCUCCGUAUCAUAGAUUAGUCUGGAAGCUUCCUGGGACACAUAUAAUGUCGCUUGACCCUACAUCAGCGGUCCAAAAGAACAAAGAGGAGCCUCUCAGAUUCUUGGUGUUAAGUGGUGUUAAGUUAGACAUUUCUCAAGUUCGUUUUUAUGUGCUUUUUCAAUAAUCCCUUCAUGAACACGGACUCUUUCCGAAGAACCAAAGUUUGUGCAUUUUCAAGCUAGAAUACUCUUAAGAGAUGCAAAUCAUUCCAGGUUAGCAGCACUGUUUACAAACUAAAUAUUCCUUACAAACGAAACGUAUGAAAAUCUGCAUUUAUACGAAAGAAAUGGGGAGGGUAUUUGUUUUAUUGUUGUUCUUACAAGAUUCCUCACAGGAUUCUUUUUAUGUAUUGGUAUACAUUUAAAAUAACAAUAGAGGAGCGCCUGGCUGGCUCAGUCUGUAGAGCUCUUGAUCUCAGGGAUGAGUCCCAUGUUGGGUGGAGACAUUACUUAAAAUGUUCAAAAAAAAAAAAAAAAUUCAGUAUAUAAAUGUGUGUACCUACACAGGUAUAAAUGGUUUCCGGGAACUCAUUUAUGAAGAUAGACCCACCCACACUUGUUCAGUUGCAUCCUAAUGCCAGAUAUCCAGUUACCUCCAUUCGAUCUACAAGGGGAGGCUGUGUAUCAGUAGCCCGUCCGUUCUCGUCACUGUGUGAGCGCCCCACGAUGCACACUUGUGUGCACCUGUUCUGCUUCCUCUGUGUAACUUCUGCUGUGUACCCUUGCCUGCUCUCCUACUUUUCUUCACCGCCCUUCCCUGAAUCUGUUCUUCCUUGUUCACCUUUUAAUCAUGAGAUGAUUUUGUCUUUUUCAUUUUUUUACAGGUCGUUGAAGGUUUUCUUUUUUUGUUUCAUUUCUGUGCUGACAUUUUGAAUGUUCAAGUUCCGGCGUGAAGUUUAAUUUCUGCAAAGUCCUGGCUAAACACACACCUUUCAGUACUGACAAGGAGGCGGGUAUCAUGCCUAGGGAAUACCUGCCUCAGCACUGGUCUGCGCUACCUCGGCUCAGCCCUGGCGCUCUGUCCGCCCGCCCCCGCCCCGACGCCAUCCGACAGAAGCAAGGUUCUGAUCUGCACAUCAUGUGGGUCGCAGGAGGAGGAAAACAUAACAGCAAAAUUGGAAGUACGACUGACUGGCUGGGAAGGAGAGCUCUUAGGAAGGGGACGUUACCUUCUACAUCUACAGAAUAUACCUGAAAGCGUGAGAAAGCCCUUUAUCUCGGGAACUUGAUGCGGAGGGCAGAUCAAGUUCAUUUAGUGCCAGUCACUUUAGUCUUGUAAAAAUUCUAACUUAAAAAAUAAAGCCUUCUGGGUAUUUUUUCUUAUAAAAUGUGAACUGAAAGUUAUUUGUAGUAGUAAAUGGUGAUGGUUUGUACUGUUAUGUUCCAUUAACAAUGUCAAAAAAACGACAGCAGCAAUUUUUAAGAGUUCAAAUUAGUGUACAAGACGGGACUACAAAACAAUCUGAUUUUUUAGUUGGUGAGUAAAGUGCUCCUUUUCUUACGUUAGGUAAAAAGAAAAUGAAAGGAAUCAUCAGUCACUGGCAACAAUCAUUAUGAGAGGUCUUUUAGGGCAAAAUUUAAUAGUACGAAGAAGUUUACAAAAAUAGAUCGAUGCUAUUUUGGGGAAUAAUACUGUAAUUUUUUCUCAAUUCAGUUUUGAUAUAUUGUACCUGAUCAUACAAAAAUUACUUCAAAUUCAAACUUGACUAUAUAAAAAAGGGAGCGAUGAAAUGAACUCAUCUAGAUGACAGAUCUGGCAAAAUAUUAAGAAUGAAAAAAUUCUACCGAGGGCACUUAUUUCAUGUCCAGAUGUCAAUACCAUUGUCAGCUGGUGGCUUAUACUCUUCCCAUUAGCAAUCACAGGUUUGGAGUCGAUCAUGCAGUACAAAGUCACGCAGUCCAGAUCUUCCUUCUGAUGCAACACAAAGAAGUUGUUUCUGUUUCCUUAUUAAAAUGCCAACUGGUUGUC